GUCGGAUUCCAGGGCUGCUAACCACAUAGAGAGGGGUCGGUGGCAUUUCAUGCGAGGCUGAGUCCCUAGAACUGGGUUAUAACCAGACCCAUACGUUUUCUGUGGUUUCAUUAUCACUACCAAUAAAAUGAGCUUGGUUUCGAGCAACCGAUUAGAAACGGGGUAACAUAAAGGUCAAUGUGACCAAGCAGUUCAAGGGCUUCCGAUGGAUAAGGUAUAAGUGCGAAGGUCUGUUU